rnacentral:lncRNA from 1 species
AUAAGUGUGUUAUUGAGCUGGUAGCUUUGGGGUACAAGUUCAGAUCCUUGCCUAGGUUCAAUGAUUAUAUAUAUUGAAUGACGCUAUCAGAUUAGGAGGAUAUGACUGAUCGUUUAUGUUCCUUGAUUUUCUGUUUUCUUCCAAAGCCGUUAAAUUCACUUUAGUAAGACUUUUUAAGAGGAUCAUAUUUGCAGCUCUAUCUCCAGGAAGCAUCACAUGCUUACAGCCUCACCUUGUAUUUAACUGUUUAUUUAAAUGAUAAUGAAACUUACCAGAAAAAAAAACUCCAAUAAUCCACAGAAAGAAAAACAAUGACUCAGAUUCAUCGCGUGUGACUUUAAAGAGACGACUGCAGAGUUAUAUUUCAUGUCUCAAACUGCUGCUGCAGGGGCAGAUUUAUUCACUGAUUUAUUCAUUUAUGCUACAUCUGUGUGUUAAAACACUCAUCUUACACACCUACGGGACAAAUCAACCCAGAAAAUAGGUACUAAUUGUUCUGCACGAGUGCCUUAGGAGUAAGGAGAGACUUUCUCGGGACGAUAUUUAAGUGUAUUUUUGCACCUUUUCUAUAACAGGGAUAAUGCGGUCGGACCACAUGCCUUUUAAGCACGCAGCCAUGAGUGAUGGCCUCUUUCUUUGCUACUCAGAUUGUCUAAUCUGAAGGACUACUGAGGGUUCGAGGAGUUAGAGUUAACUUUUUUUAAUGCGUUCUCUUGCUGCUGCAGAGUUCUGUCUGCAGACUUUUGGAAACACACAAUGAAAAGAAAGUAAAACGGCUCAAAAACAGGUCGGUGUCAGGAGCUGAAGUGAUAAUUAGAGAACCUCAUUUACUGUUUUUGUUGUUUCAGAGCCAAUAAAAACACCAUCUGAGGAGUUUUGGACAGUUUCCCUGUUGUUUUACUCGAGUAUACAUAAAUACAGCCUCUGCACAUACAAGCUGUCAGACUCCUUGUAGAUGUUAAACUUCAAAAGCCAUUAAAAAGUGCAAGUCUUAUCAUGCUUCCAGUAUCAGGAAUGAAAGGAGAUGAGAAAGGGUGGGAACUCCAGGACUACGCCCCGCAUACACACCCUGAAAUUAUCCAUCUCAUUCAUGCAGGCGGAGGACAAAGAUGUCGUACAUGUUCAAACCGUAAACGUGUUCAAUGCAAAGAUGAAGCACUGACAGAGUAAAGUGUCCUGCAUGUGUGCAUUUAAAGCAUAUUUAACCUCAGACCACGCUCCUGCAGAGUUUAGGUCAGAGGUCAAGUUUAGCGCUCCAUCAUUUCCUGACACCAGCGCUGCAAACUAGGACACGGCAAAGUGCAGCUUUUAAAAAAGAAGAAGAGCGGCGCAGGAAUGCUGUUUUGGCCAUAGGUGUGUUAUCCUGCGAGGUGAUGUGCAGGCAAAGGCGUGUUCGUGAAUGUCGUUCGCCACGGGGAAUAACAUGAUGGCAACUCAAGGAGGGACUUUUUUUUCUCCUGAGAGAAAAUCUCUGAUGAAUCAUUCGCUGGUUUGAAGCAUUAAGACUGACUCGAUACAAAAACGGCAGAAACAGUGAGUGGAGCUGCUGCGUCCCCCCGGUCAUACCCCCGAAAUACGGAUCAAGAUUCUUUCACACCCACUCAUUUACACCAAGUCUGCAAUUACGCUCGCUCUAAAUGGAAAACAGCUGUCCAUGCCGUCAUAAAUCACAUACAGCAAACAAACACUGAUUCAUACUCUCAGUGCUGCUUCUCCGUCUUGUUCUCGGAGUCCUACAUGCUCAUACACAUAACUCACAAUCUCACACACUCGCAGACGAACGUGAAAUUCCUCAGGAGCUGCAGAGUUUUAUUGGUGACAAAGAAGAGAGAGAGUGUCCUUACGCUGAAGGGUUAGAAAUGGUAAACUACAGUAUGUGAUUUCUGCUGUGCGUUGAUGUGAUUAUGUAAGCUUCUUCAGACGAGGUCAGAAUGAAAUCCUGGCUGAUUGCAAAGUGUGGGUGAGCCAAGUCAAACUUGUAAAGUGUGAGACAUGAUCAGUCUUGACUCAAACGCAGUCAGUUCAACAUUUCUGUCAACUUUUUUCUGUCUCUCCUCCAAUCCUCCAAUCCUCGCUCUUCUUUCUUUGCAGGGAGAGGAGGCCGCUGUUGGAGAAGAUCUUCUCCCAGUCAGAAAGUUGGCGGUUCGAUCCCACUUCUGUACUCGCAUCCUCGAGUAAAACAGUGAACUUGAAAUCAGCAACUAUUGUUAGCGCUUUGAGUGGUCAGCGGCAUAUCAGCACGAAACCAUUGUGGUUGAAAAAAAAAACACAAGACAACAGCCUGAGGCUAAUCAGGCAGCUCUGUGGGGCUCCAUGUUGGCAUAGCAACAGAUUGAGCAAAAAGCUAACAUGCCGCAAAAGCUUUAAUUAUACCGGCGAAACAUUUGAUAUGUGCGGAAAACCUGAAGAGACAUGGAUGAAGAAAAAAAAGUUGUCUCUGGAGUUAUUGGUCUGUGUAUUACUCUCAUGUCAGUUCAAUAAAAAUAUUGAAAUGUACGCACCUGUGGGAAAGGUUCACUGAAUUCUAUUUUGAACUCAUUUUCUGUCCACCUUGUCCCUUUGCAUGCAAAAAAUGUCCUCAUUCAGGACGUCCCUUGACCGUAGGAAUUCUUUCAACUCUUCCUCCGUGAGUCGUGUUUUUUAAGAAAACAGUGCCUGCGCUGUAAAACUGAUUUAAUAUCUUUUUAUCUGAUGCCAAUCUAAUAAAAGGUGCGACUAACCUUUCCCACAGGUGCGUGCGUUUCAUAGUUUGGAUUGGCGCAAUACGGAAAAAAUACACUGAUCUGUAAUCUUUGUACUUAUAAGAGCAUGCAAAAGAGAAAAGCCUGUUUUAUUGUUUCUCCUUCAUGUCCCUGAAGAUAUGUCCUGACAGGUGUGUGCAAAAAUACCUGGAUGGUUUUGAUGAAUAAUAACGCAGCAUGCAUACCGAGUACAGCAGAAAGGACCGUUGGGUAAUUUUUCCAUAAUAAAUAAAAAACUGAUAAUUAAAAUUCACAUAUCAACAGGGUCACAAAGUUGAACAUCAGCUCAUUAAGUUUGGCAAUGGUAGCUGUUUCCUUCAGAUACUGUUUUUUUUUAAAUACUCUUACAGAAUAAUACUGUAAUUGAUGUAUCAGCAUUAGGGUCAAAGUUCAGGCUAACGUUCUGUUAAAUUUGCAUGUCUCAUCCAGGGUAGACAAAUGAUCUGCUCUGAACGGUUAUCAGGGUGUUUAGUCGACUAUCUAUUUCAGCCUUUAUUUUAAAGAUGGCUGACAAAGUUCAUCAAUUAAAUAUCAAACUGUUUCAGCUCUUUGACAAGUGUCUCUUUUCUUCUAGUUCUGUUUUUAACUUCACUUUGCAUCACCAUCAUUAUCUGAUUGGCUAGAUUGGUUAACUGUUGACUUCAGUGCAGAAAAAACAAUAUUGGUCAACAGAACAUAAGCGUCAGACAAGCGCAGUAGUGAUGAAAUCUGCAAAAUCAGUCAUUUUAAAAGAUGUAGACAGAAGUAUAGGGAUUGUUUAUGUAAUCAAGUUCUUACUAGCUAAUUAGCCUUUUAUUGAAGAUGAUGAAAUGUCAUCAUGGAGGCAGGUAUUCAGUCAUAAACUAAAUGAAACUAAAAGGAUAUUUGCAUGUGAUGACAGGAGGAUUGAGGGCAGAGCUUGUGUGCGUCUCAUAGUUCACACUCCUCGUUUGAUUCUGAUGUCUGAGAUGGUUUCAUACGUGACGACUCGGUGAAUUUCUCAGCUGUCUGUGUGAGAUUUUUCUCUGCGCCUGCUGCUUUAAAGCUGCUGUAAAGAGUCAGAUUAGCUGUGGGCAAGAAAAGACUGCUGUGAUUAUUAGAAAUCUAGUGUCAGUGAAGAAUUCAUGUGUUCCACUGUAGCCCCUCCCCAUGGUAAAUGACAUUUCUAAACAGUCUAGGUUAAAUUAUGUGGACAACAGUUAAUAGAAAUACCACAUGAAAAAUUAUAUUGCGCAAAAUUCAAGAUCAUAAAAUAUCUUGGAAUAAAACAAGUCAGACACCAAAUUUUUGCGUUUUUUGUCCAACUUUGAUCUUUCUUGACUUGGAAGCUCAUUUUUCCGCCACAUGCUCCAUCAGGAGGUCUUCUGAUUCGGUAUGAAACCAGAGUGGGCGUGUCAAGUCCCACCUAGGCCUGCCUACAACUACACUGCUACUUUUAUUAACAUUAUUAUCACUUCAAAAUAUACUUAAGUCAUGACUUAAAUCCAUUAUUUUAUGAUACUUAUUUUUAAAUGAUCUGUUUAGACUAAAUUUGAAUGUGUUUUUUUUUGGAAAUGCCUAUUUUUACUUGGUGGUUUUGCUACUUUAGCUUUACCUUUUCACAUUCAUACACAUUAAUGCAUGCAUUAUUAAGUCGUCACAAGAGCAAUUGGCAGAGCUACGCCCAUUAUCAUGUAUCUUAGUAUGGCUGCACUGAUGUAGUACCGCUUACUAUGAUUGCACUCAUAUUACCUAUCAGGUGAACGUCUCUCAGGUUGUAUUUAUGGAGGCGUGACUCCUCACUAGUCCAUACAACGACACUUUUUAAUGAAUAAGCGUCAAAUUCAGGGUGAUGAAUUACACUCUAAUCCAGAACACGCUGCAAAGACACCUCUGUUAUUUUAAUACUACUCCUGGAAUAAAACAUAAAGCUCAGUCUACAAUAAACAUUAAGCGCAAACACAACUGGGAUGUGUCUGCAUAAAACAUAAAUCAGUUAUCAGUCGGUGUUGUUCCUCGACGUUUAUUUUCCAUUUAUCCUAUUUGAAGUGUUUUCAAACAGCGAUCAUCGAUUUCUGAGCUCUUGUCAUUUAAGAACACCUGUCAGACCGGUUUUUCCUGUGAGUCACACCCUUUGGCUGGAGGCGAGGGUUUAAGAAGUGUGUGUAUACAUGUGUGUGUAUGUGUGUGUGUGUGUGUGUUUUCUUCACAGAGGAGAUGGUGAAUGGGAAGGGCAAGUUGGGUCAAGGUUGGAGUUUCAAAAGAUGCACCUCUGCUGGGUUUUGUUUAAUUCUUCCACUGAGAUGCAUCAACAGCAGCAGUUUGUCUCUGUCAGAAAAUUAAUACUGAAUCUGACACACAGCCAGCUGAGAAGAACGACAGAGAGUGUGGUCUUUAUCUAGUUGCAUGGCUUCAGCGGAAAAGUAUCAGUCCCAACUCCAAGGACAUAUUUCUCUUCUCCCAUGCUCAUUAAAAAGAAACAGAUAUUAUCCUGUAAGCAUUCACACCAAGUGAUUAUCAAUAAAUGAUGAUUCACAUACUUAUAUAAUGAUAAAAUACAUGUGAUAGCAUACACAAACAAUUUUUCUUUCAGUCUCCGAGCUCUUUCACAUUUAAAUCUGUUAUUUCUGAGGGCAGUUAGUGAUGCAGGCUGCAGAUGGUACACGAGUAAAGAAAGAGAAGCAAAAACUGCAUCGAUAAGCAUCUUGCAAAAGCAAACAAAUUUUGCAAAUUGUCCACAGAGGAGGUUUUGACAUUUUCAAAAUAGAAUAAAAUUCAUCCUGGUGCUUUUUUAUGAUAUCCAAAAGCAAACAAGGCCACCAGGAUCAAGAUCGGACAUUUGCAUUUGGUUGUUUUUAAUACCCGAAACUGGCAUGAGGGGGUAGGUGUCAAGCUGAGAAGCUCAAGAAACAGCUGUUUGUAUAAUUUCCAGAUGAGAUAUUCAUACCAAAUGAUAGAUUUGUGCUUCAAAAGUGAGCAGGAUGAGAAUUUUUCAAUAGACAUAACUUAAAUAUGUAGUAGACCAAGAUAAAGUUUAUUUUUUGCAUGUAUGAGUGAUGCUUUCUGUCUGAUCAAAUAUAUAUUAUUGUAAAAAUAAAAUAAAGUAAAAACAUUUCAGUGCUGCUGUGCAAAGUGCACUGAGCAUUCAAAGCGCAGGUAGUUGUGGAGCAAAACAUUGUCGCAAAAAAGGACAUAUCCUUCAGGAGCAGAGAAAAGAAAGAGGACAAAGGGGAAGAAGAGAAAAAAACGCCAAGAUAAAGGUAUGUUUGCAUGUCAUGGACUGUUAAUCAAAGAGAUUUGUGGAGGCGUGUGAAUGAUCAACAAUCAAUAUUAUUGGCAGAAAUAGAGGGCCCCAAAAUCUAAUUUUGCUUAGGGCCCCAUUGAGGGUUGGGCUGGCUCUGAAUGUCCCCAUGAUACCCUGAAUAAACAACACUUUUCCAUGCUAUCAACCAGGUCCCCACUGUGUUAAAUGUCCUCAUAUUGCAUGGUGUCCUCAGACUCCACACUAGUUUGCAUGUAGUCCUCAUAAAGAUAGAAGAACA